rnacentral:rRNA from 1 species
UACGGAGGGUGCGAGCGUUGUUCGGAAUCACUGGGCGUAAAGCGCGUGUAGGCGGCCCACUAAGUCUGAUGUGAAAGCCCGGGGCUCACCCCCGGAAGUGCAUUGGAAACUGGUGGACUCGAGUCCCGGAGAGGAGAGUGGAAUUCCUGGUGUAGCGGUGAAAUGCGUAGAUAUCGUGAGGAACACCAGAGGCGAAGGCGGUUACCUGGACAGUUACUGACGCUCAGGCACGAAAGCAUGGGGAGCAAAAGGG